UGGGGAAUAUUGCGCAAUGGGGGAAACCCUGACGCAGCGACGCCGCGUGAGCGAAGAAGGCCUUAGGGUUGUAAAGCUCUGUUUUAGGGGACGAAUGUCCAGAUCAGUAAUAUGGGUUUGGAAUGACGGUACCCUAAGAGGAAGCCCCGGCUAACUACGUGCCAGCAGCCGCGGUAAGACGUAGGGGGCGAGCGUUGUCCGGAAUUACUGGGCGUAAAGAGCACGUAGGCGGAUAUUUAAGUCAGGUGUGAAAGACCGGGGCUCAACCCCGGGGUGGCACUUGAAACUGGAUAUCUUGAGGGCAGGAGAGGGAAGCAGAAUUCCUGGUGUAGCGGUGAAAUGCGUAGAAAUCAGGAGGAAUACCAGUGGCGAAGGCGGCUUUCUGGACUGUCCCUGACGCUGAGGUGCGAAAGCGUGGGUAGCAAACAGG
rnacentral:rRNA from 2 species